GGAGCGCGUGCACCGCGUGAGCCAAUCCUCUCCCGAAAACCUAGCGCACCAGAGCCCCACGCCCUCUUCUUCCCCUCUGCGCCGUCUUGCCUCCCCUCUCGCACCGCCGCCUUCUCUCGGCCACCCUCCUGGCACAUUCUUCUGGGCCUCUUCCCCGGCGCUCGAACUGCAGCGGCGGCGGCGCCGCUCCUCCUCACGGGCAUGGUCGCAUCUGGAGGAGUAGGCCGUGGUCAUGGCGGCGCGCGACACUAGGCUGUGGCGCUGUUCGUCGAGGCGGAGCCGCGGAGGUGAGUGGCUGCGGUGAUGGCAGAUGUAUGAGGAGGAGGAGGCCACGGACCCAUGGUCAUGGCGGUGCGACGGAGUUCGUACCCGGCCGGCGCGGCACCAGGCUGCGAAGGAGAGAGUUAGAGGAAAUAGGAGAGGUAGGCCCGACAACAGAUGGGAGAGGGUCACCGGCCGGCGUCGGCCUGUGCCGGCGAGGUUGCUCGCCUUGUUGCGCAGGAGGGAAAGGCAACGGGACCAGCAUCCGGGGCGGUGGCGGUGGCUGGCCGAGGUGGUUCUCGCCAAAGAAGCAGGUGGCAGUGCAAGGCAGCACGGCGCAGCAAGCAUGAGCUGCUUGAGAGUGCGGCUGGCAAGGCAGGAAAGGGAAAAAGCUUUUGUGGUGAUCGGGAUCAAUACCUCCUUCAGUAGCAAGAAGUGACAUGAUUCUGUCAGGGAGACAUUGAUGACUCGAGGGCUAGGUGUCCUUCCUCCUCUUGGUGACAUAUAAGAGGACCUGCAACAUUGAGCCGGGAAGUCCUUUUUUAGGCAGUGGUCAUGGAGCAACAAUAUAUGCUGCGUGCAUUGCAGUGACUGAGAGUCAGAGGAGAUGCGGCAGCGACACCGAUCUGCUCGCGGCGGCCAUGGCGGGUCUUGCGGCGUGGGACAGCUGCUUCCGGCGUCCGACGGCAGCACGCAUCCCCCAAAGCCCGACCUGCUCAAGCUACGCGCAGCUCGUCCACCUUCCACUCAAAGCGACAACGGCGGCCGCGGAGGACCAGUGGCAGCCAUGGCUGGUCUCGAUUCGACGUGCCGCGGCAGUGCUAGGCGCGUGUAGGCUGCUCGGCAUCAGCGGCCGACAGCGCGCACCUGUGCAAGGAGGUCCUCGUCGAAGAAUAUCAGAGCCGCCUUGUUCUUGAACUCACAGAGGAGCAUGUGGUCGCCCUCUGGGUCCUUGUACUGGCGAGGUGACGAAUCGGUGACCACGCUCCGGGGCGAGCGAGGCCGGGGUGCACGAUGAGCCAAGUCGCUAUCCUGGGCUCUGUAAUUGGAAAUUUCAGGCCGAGCGAGCACAUCCGGUUGGUUUGCUGGCGCCUUGGCGGGAGCUGCUGUUGCUCCUCGCUGGGAACAACCACCAUAUCCUCAGGCGGCGGUAGCGACUCGUUCGUGUGCGCGCUGGGCCGGAGCGUCACGGGCGCCAUCACGGCGACCACACCAAGCGCAAGGGCCUUGGGAACAGCCAGAUGCCCCUACACUACAAGGAUUUUAUUGUAAUGACACGAUAUUAAGAAUAGCAGAGAUAGACAUGCCUAUGUCUACAGCUAACUAUUCAAGAUAGACAUGCCUGUGUCUACAAGAAAAUCAGCUUAGCAUUCAUAUCUCAUGUUCUCAACUCCCUAUACACUCUGACCAGACAUAUAAUUAAGCUUAGGUCAGCAAACCGGACAAGGCAUAUAUCGUUACCGUGUAGAGCAUUUUGCACGCUGGUAUGUUUUGUUGCCAAGCUAAGAUCGGCGAGACCCGUGCCAAUACAUGAGAGUCCAUGAUAUCAUACAGUUCGCAGUCGAAAAAUUCAUGAUAUGGGUGAUAUGGAAGUCAUUGCCUUCUUUGCUGGUACAUUCCCUGAUUGCCUGGACUUCUUGGGUCAAUCGCUGGACGCCACCCCCAUCUCCUGGACGUCAUGACGCCGCCGAUCUCCUAUAUGAACUCAAUUUCUCCAAUUUCUCUCAGCUGUGAGCUCAUAUAUUUUUUGAGCUGUGAACUUAUUAUGUAAAUUCAACACUUUGUUUUGUGAGAAGUGAACUCAUUGCAUAUUCGUCUAUCAAUCAUGGUUGAAGUGUCUA